GCUUCCGUCCUCGUGAUCGUCUUCUCACCCUUCACGGCGGGCGGGAGAAGGAAGAGGGCCCCCUGUGCGGGCGUGACGCACAGGGGGCCCUC
rfam:Streptomyces sp. NRRL F-6602 F6602contig19.1, whole genome shotgun sequence.